UCCGUACUGGUGUAUCGGUAACAUAUCCGCCUUUCAAGGUCAACUUAAGUCCUCAGUCCGCAGUUGCGCAGGGUUCGACUCCCUGGUACGGAA